GAGUAAUCUGUGCUAUGUCAGGCCUUUGAUCUCCAGGGUUGAGCCGACCGAUUGAGCCAGCUAGGCGGAUGUCUAGUUCAGGUGCUUCCAUUCCAAAAGCUGAACGCACCGCUGGAAAAGACAACCACCCCCAACCGAGGAGUACUGGAUCCUUCUUCAGUCAAGGGUCUGAGUAACUACAUCUCUCUGGAAGAACUUCCAAACAGGCUGCCAAGAGGAACAAGGUCGCGUCCUCAGUAGGGAAAUAAAGUGAAAGAAAGUAGACCUAGAAAAAUACUGAAUGUUUUCUAUCCUAUGUUGAAUACAGAGAAAGGAA
rnacentral:snRNA from 1 species